rnacentral:rRNA from 1 species
GAUGAACGCUGGCGGCGUGCCUAAUACAUGCAAGUCGAGCGAAGAGACGAGGAACUUGUUCCACUGAGGUUAGCGGCGGACGGGUGAGUAACACGUGGAUAACCUACCUAUAAGACGGGGAUAACUUCGGGAAACCAGUGCUAAUACCGCAUAAUAAAUUGAACCGCAAGGUUCAAGAUUGAAAGAUGCAUUUGCAGCACUCAAAAGAGGUAUCGCGGUCGCAUUGGCUAGUGGGUAGGGAAACGGCUAACCAAGGCAACGUAGCUUAGCGGACCGGAGAGGGUGAUCGGCAACAUUGGAACGGAGACACGGCCCAGACUCCUACGGGAGGCAGCAGUGGGGAACUUUGGACAAUGGGCGAAAGCCUGACGAAGCAACGCCGCGUGGGUGAUGAAGGUCUUCGGACGGUAAACCUUUUUUGUUGGGAAAGAAGAUAUGUAGAGUUAAAUACUCACGUAUUGACGGUACCUAAUCAGAAAGCCACGGCUAACUACGUG